ACUGUUUCCUCUUUGUCUCUGGUCUGAUACACAAUGGUUCAGUUUAAUAUUCUGUCUGUGUUUCUCUGUGUCAUGGGUUUGCUCUCAGAGACUCAGAGCUCUUUAACUUUGGAGGCAGAAGCUGGAGAUAACGUCACUAUUUGGUGCCAACAUGAUCAGACUGUAACAUCUUUCAUCUUCUGGUUUAAACAGUCGUGUGAUUCAGUUCCACUUCUUCUUGGGUGUAAAAAGUUUAGGACAUCAGCUUCAUCAGAGUCGUGUUACUUCUUUAGUGAGAGUGAGAGAAUAGUGAUGUCUGUUCAUGGCAGUAAAACGUCUCUCACAAUCACUGCAGUAAACGUCUCUGAUACAGGACUCUAUUACUGCAGCUUCACUGACAGAAUGAUCUUCAGUAACUCCACAUAUUUACAAGUGAAAGG